AGCCAUGCAGUGAGCACAAAGAGAACUAUUCUUUUGCCUUUUACUAAAGAAUACUGUGUGCAUGCUGCAAUUAGUGGGGGUGGGUUAGAAGUGGUUGUUGCUUUGGUUUUCUUGGGC
rfam:Capsicum annuum cultivar Zunla-1 chromosome 10, whole genome shotgun sequence